UAGGUAGGGGGCAAGCGUUAUCCGGAUUUACUGGGUGUAAAGGGAGCGUAGACGGCAGGGCAAGUCUGGAGUGAAAGGCAGGGGCCCAACCCCUGGACUGCUCUGGAAACUGUCCGGCUGGAGUGCAGGAGAGGUAAGUGGAAUUCCUAGUGUAGCGGUGAAAUGCGUAGAUAUUAGGAGGAACACCAGUGGCGAAGGCGGCCUACUGGACUGUAACUGACGUUGAGGCUCGAAAGCGUGGGGAGCAAACAGG
rnacentral:rRNA from 1 species